rnacentral:rRNA from 1 species
UACGAAGGGGGCUAGCGUUGUUCGGAAUUACUGGGCGUAAAGCGCACGUAGGCGGACUACUAAGUCAGGGGUGAAAUCCCGGGGCUCAACCCCGGAACUGCCUUUGAUACUGAUAGUCUCGAGUCCGGAAGAGGUGAGUGGAAUUCCGAGUGUAGAGGUGAAAUUCGUAGAUAUUCGGAGGAACACCAGUGGCGAAGGCGGCUCACUGGUCCGGUUCUGACGCUGAGGCGCGAAAGCGUGGGGAGCAAACAGG